GCAAGGCACUGCCCGCCGGUGGGGUGCUGAGGGGCGGCCCCGGGUGGCGUUUCUGCCCUCAGCCUGCGUUAUUACAAUUGUUGGUUGUUUUUUUGUUUGUUGGUUGGUUUGUUUGUUGUUUUUUUUUAAGUUCUUCUGGUAAAUUUUGCCGUGAAGAAGGGUAAAUGAAUGUUUCCGUGAGGUGUGUUCCCAAAUCCAGUCAGGGGACGUUGGUGUGCUGCGCCGAGCAGGCAGGCACCUGCUGCCUCCACACAGCGGGUGUCUCACAGAAUCACAGCAUCAUCUAGGUUGGAAGAGACCUCCAAGAUCACCGAGUCCAACCUCUGACCUAACACUAACAAGUGCUCCACUAAACCAUAUCACUUAGCUCUACAUCUAAACCUCAAGGUGUCUGCCACUGCUCUGCUGGUAGCAGCUCGGCGGAGUGGGAGGGUAGCACUUGGGUUUUUUUCCAAAGGAAAGGACACGAGUAAGUCUUCUUCCACUUCAGGACAAGUGUCCGUCAUUUAAGGAAAAGCUUUUGUAGGGAAAUGUAAGAAGUAAACACAUUUAUAGUAAAAAUGAUGAGUGAUGGUACCAAUCUGCUGUCAAGCUUCAGCUUGUGGUUGAAUCACUUCUUGAUGGAGACAGGAUUCAGGGUUUCAGACAAAGUUCAAAGUCAAACCUACUGUCCAUGUUAUAUCUUGCUCACCCUUUUUCAAAUCAGAUACGGGGAGUUUUUACUGUCUGACCAUGAACUCAUAAUACAAUCUCCUUUUAAAAUACGGGUAUUUAUUUCACCAGUAAGUCAUCUGUUUCCAAAGCAGCAGGAGGCAAAACUGAAACCCAUAAAGUCCAUCUGGGUUUUGAUUAAUGAACUUGAUGCAUCUUAAGUAUCAGAGGACAGUUCAGUCUAGAGUCAUGUAGCACAGUAGCAGAAGUCAGUUGAAACUGUCAUGUUACACAUCCAAACACCGGUCUCUGCAUAUAUCCAGAAGUGCUCUUAUCUUGAUGAGCGUAGCUACAUCCUGAGCUCAGCUGCGUUUCAGACACAGACAGGAAAAGGCUUACCUCCACCCAAUCAUGUAGCUGGCUGUGCUCAGUGCGUGCAUGUGGUUACAACUGCAGAGUUCGUGGGUUACAAAGCGCCAGGAACACAGCUGCCAACUCAUUUUUGAGCAACAGCCCACUGACUGUAGCACUUUCCCAAGAAGUAGCGAACUUGGAGAGUUAACGUUCCCUGCCUCCCAGGAGGCAGAUAUCAGGUUCAAAGUAAGAUCAUCUUCCAUUCUUGCUGAUGCCACUGUGUUGUUACAAAUGUGGAAAUAGGAAGAACGCAGCUUGACUUUGUAUCUUGGUCGUUCACCAUGAACGGAUUCAAAGCACUAGCACAACUACCAAUAUCCUUUUAUGGAGUGAUCCAAAAAAAAAUAAGAGAGACAAAAGCAAACUGCAAAGCAUAAACUCAGCAAUGGAUGUUCAGAAACCUUUGGUUGCACUGGCAGUGACAGAAGAAUUUACAAUGCCUUCUGUGAAUGAGUGCCACCAGCUAGCACAAAGAGAAGUAAACACAGUCAUUGUUCAUCUCUUGGUAAACUCAUAGUGAAAGACCUGAAAUAACAUAAGGCUGCUAACCUUUACAGAUUUCUUAUAAUCCCAGCCAUCAUUCAUCACAGUCUCAAAAGGGAGAUGUUUUACACUAUUCUAAAACAGUCAUUAAAAAUUCCACUGUUAAGCAAAAAUCUUAGAUAGGCAUGGGGUCCUCAAAGGUGGGCUAUCCAGUAGUGGUUUCUCCACCCAUUCCUUGAACCUCACUGAUAAAAUCUAAUAAUAUUGCCCCAGUGCCAGCUCCUUUAUGGGGACAAUGCUUAAAGAUUUAAAGAGUGAGAAAAUUAAUCCAGUGCUGGUGAACCACUUCAUGGAAUCAAGCACUGGAGAGCAAGAAUGCCUGCCCAAAUCAGUGGCAAUGGCAUUCCUCAAUUCAGCACCCCAGUGAGGCAUUUUUUAGCAUGUCAUCAUCCUUUGCUAAGGUCCAGCUCACUAUUUGAUGUUUUACUGUAAUAGUCAUCUCUCAAAUAUUGAGUUACCUUGACAGCAGCUUAUAAACAUCAUCUUCUAAGUGCAGGGAUCAAAGAUAACGGACAAAGCAAAAGCAUAUUAGUGCUACUUCUGCUAAUUCUUUAAUUAUAUUCAUUCCUCUUUAGUUUCAAAACAUCUUUUCUCCCAUAUCACAGGCACAAUUUUAGAUAUAGGUCAAACCUCAUAUAAAAUCAUAGAGCAAUUUAAGUUGGAAGGACCCUCUGGAGGUCAUCUCACCCAGCUUCCUGCUCAGUACGGGGCCAUCUUCAAAGUCAUAUCAGGUAGUUCGUAGCCUUGCCCUGAAAAGUUUCAAAAAUAUCCAAGAGUGGAGAUUCCGUAACUUCUCUGGACUACUUCCCCUGUGUUUAACCACUCUUCCUGUGAUUCUUCCUUUCCUUACAUCCAAUCAAAAUUUCUCUUGUUGCGCCCUACAACUAUUCCAUCUUGUCCUUUUCCUGUUCACCUCUCAGAAAAGUCUUGUUCCACCUUCUUAGUAAACUCCCACUCAAAUAAUGAAGCAUAGGGAUUAUAUCCACUCUUUAUGUUCUCUUCUUCAAGCUAAAGAACCCAAAUUUCUUCAGCCUCUCCUUAUGCCGCAUGCUCCAGCCCCUGCAACAAGUUUGGCUGCCUUCCUCUGAGUGCUCUUCAGCUUGCAAAUAUCUCUCCCACAGUUGGGAGCCCAAACUGGACACAGCAUUCCAGAUGUGGCCCCACAAGUGCUAAGUAGAGGAGAAUAACCCUUUCCCUUCACCUUGAUGCCUUGAGGAACCCUGUCCUCCACCACAUCAGCAACUCCCCAAGUUUCACGUUAUCCACACACUUGCUUAGAAUACAUUCCAACUCAUCAUCCAGAUCAUCAAGUAUGUUACACAGAAUAAACCCCAAUAUUGCGCCUUCAGGAACACCACCCGGCCAGUUUUUCCAUACCUACUGGUAGUCCUCCCACCCAGUUAUAUCUGGGUUUGGUUACAAGGAUGCCAUGAGAGUCCAUGUGGAAACCCUAACUAAAAUCAAGGUGAUGGCAAAAGAUACAGACAAUUGAAGACAGAAGAAAGAGGAGGGAAGAGAAGACAAGAAUUCCUAAUCUUUUCAUGGAAAAGAUAAAAAAGUAUACUCCUUAUCUCUAAACACAGUGGUGAGGGGAAGGAAGAAGUCUGGAACUACUAAUGGUGAAAAAAGCGAGAUAAAAAGAUUAGAAAUUACAAGGAAAAUGAAGAGAAAAAUAAAUUCUCAUGUUAC